rnacentral:sRNA from 1 species
UUACUGUAAAAACACAUUAGCAGAGGUAUACAGAAAAGGGAUGAAACUUUUUUUUUUUUUUUUCCAAAUUUCUGAGGACCCAAUUCUGGGUGUCACCAGCAUACAUGUUAAAGCUUGAUUUUGUUGUCAUUAUUUACUUUUCAUUAUCCCAUUACUUUAAUUGGUCAUAAUCUUCAUAAAACCAAAAAUAACUCAUUUUUUAACAUUUUUGAGAUUAGUUUUCUAUUUAUCUAAAUUUUUAUCACCUAUUUCAUGUGUGGAAACCUGCAAUUAUAUAUGAAUUUCCAUUUGUUUAAACUUGACCACUGCACCAUACCAUUUCCAGAAUUGUUUGGCUUGUUUUCUUUCCUAAAUGAAAUUUUCAUUGGCAUGUGAUUUAAAAGUAGCUUUGCUGCUUAUUUCAUGAUAUGCCUGCUGUGGUGUGAAAGAGUUUGGAUUGUAUUGCAUGUUUUUAGAAUUAUUACCUGAAUAUAUUUUAGGAUUUUCAAAUUUUUUGGGGCAGCUUUUUUGUAUGCAUUAAUGUUUAAAAAUGUAAAGGUUAAAAUAUCUUUAAAUGAAGAUAUUAAAAAUAUUCUGCAUGUUUGUUGUAUAAGUAGAUUUUGGGGCCCAAUGCCAUAUAGCAUGCUAUUAACAUCACUUCCAAUAAGUAAUAUUACGGUCUGAUUGCUAAAUUUUAUCUGAACUGAUAUCAUGUCAGACAUCUUUGAAGAUAUUCUUUUGAGUGAUGACAGUUAUAUGCAAAGGGCAUAUUGAUGUAGCUGUUUAAAGACCUUUUGUAAUAUGGUAUACCAAAUUCACCCAUUCAUUUUUGGUAUUGGAUACAUGGUAGUAUGAAAGAAGGUGUAGGUUAAGAAGUUUGUGUUUAUGU